rnacentral:rRNA from 1 species
UACGUAGGAUGCAAGCGUUGUCCGGAGUUAUUGGGCGUAAAGCGCACGUAGGUGGUUUGUCGCGUUGUUCGUGAAAACUCACAGCUCAACUGUGGGCGUGCGGGCGAUACGGGCAGACUUGAGUACUGCAGGGGAGACUGGAAUUCCUGGUGUAGCGGUGGAAUGCGCAGAUAUCAGGAGGAACACCGGUGGCGAAGGCGGGUCUCUGGGCAGUAACUGACGCUGAGGAGCGAAAGCGUGGGGAGCGAACAGG